CCUACGGGGUGCAGCAGUCGAGAAUAAUUCACAAUGGGGGAAACCCUGAUGGUGCGACGCCGCGUGGGGGAAUGAAGGUCUUCGGAUUGUAAACCCCUGUCAUGUGGGAGCAAAUUAAAAAGAUAGUACCACAAGAGGAAGAGACGGCUAACUCUGUGCCAGCAGCCGCGGUAAUACAGAGGUCUCAAGCGUUGUUCGGAAUCACUGGGCGGAAAGCGUGCGUAGGCUGUUUCGUAAGUCGUGUGUGAAAGGCGCGGGCUCAACCCGCGGACGGCACAUGAUACUGCGAGACUAGAGUAAUGGAGGGGGAAACGGAAUUCUCGGUGUAGCAGUGAAAUGCGUAGAUAUCGAGAGGAACACUCGUGGCGAAGGCGGGUUCCUGGACAUUAACUGACGCUGAGGCACGAAGGCCAGGGGAGCGAAAGGGAUUAGAUACCCUUGUAGUC
rnacentral:rRNA from 1 species